UACGUAGGGUGCAAGCGUUAAUCGGAAUUACUGGGCGUAAAGCGUGCGCAGGCGGUUUUGUAUGUCUGUCGUGAAAGCCCCGGGCUCAACCUGGGAAUUGCGAUGGAGACUGCAAGGCUUGAAUCUGGCAGAGGGGGGUAGAAUUCCACGUGUAGCAGUGAAAUGCGUAGAGAUGUGGAGGAACACCGAUGGCGAAGGCAGCCCCCUGGGUCAAGAUUGACGCUCAUGCACGAAAGCGUGGGGAGCAAACAGG
rnacentral:rRNA from 1 species